GCACAGAACCCAAAAUCUACGAAUACGUUCACCUCAACGACGAGACAACAUUCUCAAGUCAACACGCAAAGAUCGAAGAUGCAAUAGCUGAACACUUGACAACAUGUGGAAAACCACCAGUAAAGAAGAUAAAACAAUUUCCAGAACUACACAACAACUAGGACGUAUUUUAAAUAAAUAAAUAAAAAAUGUAAAAUUUUUUUAAAAUUAAAUAUAACCUUUUUUUGCACGUUUUCUCGCCUCAUGUAACUCCUCAGACAUUUUUUUUCUUUUCUUCUCAUUCUCGACUUCGCUCGCAGCCAAUCUGUAAUAGUUGUCCAAGCUAACACCGGUUUUCUUCUCGAAUUUUUCCUUCCUUUUUGUCAUAUCCGCAAAUAUCUCACCCACAAGCAUCUGCUUACAGUUCGACAAAUAAGCAAAGGCAGGGCCCUGCACUCGUUUAGGAACAACAACACUCAGAAUCAUUUGUGAUUGCAUUUGACGCAACAAUAUAUCAUACAGGGCAUCGUCCCCACGAAUAAAUUUCGGUAUCAAACCCUUUUCAAUCAAAAUGUUUUCCAAAUCUGUAAUUUGCCUUUCCGCCUUUUCAAUAGGUAAACCAACCCCAUUCUCACACUAUGUACUCAAUUCAAACGAUUUACCACUCAUCCACGAAGAAACAACCUCUUCCCACUUUGCUUGCUCCAUCUCGACUGAAAAGAGCGCGAAAAUUUGAAAUUUAUCACCACCCCAAGCAUGACAUCAUCGCGUCGCGAGGUUUUAGGUUUGGGUCCA